UUCCCUGUGGCUCAGUUGGUAGAGCAUGGUGUUUGCAACACCAGGGUUGUGGGUUCGAUUCCCACAGGGGGGC
rnacentral:tRNA from 1 species